rnacentral:lncRNA from 1 species
GUAGUGGACAAAGUGAAUCAGAGAAGAGCAGAGGGAGUGCUGGAUUGGGAGAUCAGUCGUGAUUUUAGAUAGUCUGGUCAGGGAGGGCCUCAACUGAGAAGGUGAAAUGUGAGCAAAGACGUGAAGGAAGCCAGGGAGGUAGCAGGUAGCUCUCUAGGGAGAGUUGCAGGCAGAGGAGAUUGGGUCUUGACUGGUGUCCUCAGGAAGGAAGCCCCUGGGAUGGAGUGCAGGGAGCCAGCUGGAAGGGAAGGAGAGGGGCCAGGGAGGCCACAGGCCCGGCCAUAUGAGCAUCAUGGGUCAUUACGGGGGCUUGAGCUGGCUCAGAGGGAGGCAGGGAGCUUUUGGACAAUUUUGAGUUGAGGAGUGAUGUGGUUUGAAUCUGAAUUAUAUUUUAUAAGGGUUAACCACAGAUCCAAGGACUCAGUAAAAGGGUGAAAGGCUUCUCAUGCAGUUAGCCUUGCUGCCAGUUCCCAUAAAUCAGACUCCUCCCCACUCCGUUUCUGAAUUUUCUAUAGGAUCCUCGGCCUCAGCAGAUAUAAACGCUUACCAUUGUUGUGUUCAUGUCUCUAGCCCCUGCACACUGCAGGCCCCUCUCAGCUUCACAUACCCCUCUCCAUGUAUGAGAUCUGGUGCUAGCAAUCAGAUUCAACCCGAAGGAACAAGUGCAUGUGCCUGCUGCUCUCAGGAGAAAAGGCAGCCUGUUCUGGGAGGAGCUCCCUCACUGGCCCACCCACUUGUGUUGAAGCAAAAAGCAAGAAUCAAUUACUUAAAGGCAAAGGAGUGAUAUUGCUAAAGCAUGUGAGUAAUCAUUGCUUCUGAUUAUUGAAGAGGUCAGAUUAUGAAUGAAAGGAUAAAAUGUUUUAAUAGUAGAGCAGUGUCCUGACUAUAGGGGCCCGUUCAUGGAGCUGGUCAUUUCUUGAAAUGAGAAGAAACCAACCUGGAAGAUGUCUUUUUCAGUAGAGUAUGGAAUAAUCUUACCUGCUCUGGAUUGCCAUGAGCAGGUGAAAAUGAAGGCUCUGAUAUUGUGUGGUGGUGUCACAGGAUGGUGGGGGCGGGGCAGAAGUCUCCUGUUGGUGUUCUGAUGCCUGUUCAGCUUUGUCCUCAGGAAGGUUUGGUCAUCUUGGUUCUGCCAUCCUCUUGCCUUCCUACGGCAGCAGCUGUUCAUGGCACUGAAGAUGUCCCUUCACUGUCCCAAAACUGGCACUAGAAGUGGCUGGGCAGGGGGGCCAGAGUCAUAGGAAGGGUCUUGGAGUCAUCAGAUCUGGGUUCCAGGCAUGGUGUGCCUUUUCUUGGCAGGAUUGAUCUUGAGCAAGUCAAUGAACCUCUGCAUCAAUUUCCUUAUGUGUGAAGUUAGAGUGCUUGGCUGUGCUACCUGAUUCCUGAGAUUGGUGAAAGAGGGCUUGGUUUACCAAGGCUCUCCAUCAGGUGGUUGACCUCUAGGACCAGGGCCCUCUCAGAGGUGCAGCUUCCAUGUCAGUUGGUGUUGUAACCAUGGAAAAGUCCCUUUCCAAUCAAACUUUUAGCACCCCUUUCCCCCCAUCUCUGCUCCCUUUGCCACAGGAUACCUUGUAAAGUUCCUGCCCCAGUAUAGGGAUAUUUUUACUGUCUUUUUUAUUUUUUGAGACAGGGUUGCCCAGGGUGGAGUGCAGUGGCAGGAUCACAGCUUACUGCAGCCUUGACCUCCCAGGCUCAGGUCCCAUCUGAGCCUCCCGAGUAGCUGGGGCUACAGGUGUGUGCCACCCUGCCAGCUAAUUUUUUAUAUUUUUUUGUAGAGACAAAACUUUUAUUUUUUUUUCCCAUGUUGCUCAUGCUGGUCUCAAACUCCUGGGCUCAAGCAAUCCACCCACCUCUGCCUCCCAAAGUGCUGGGAUUACAGGCGUGAGCCACUGUGCCUGACCUGUCAUUUUUAUAGAAUGAAAUGUGCUUAUUUCUAAACAUUCUAAUCAAAUUUUAAAAUGUGCAAAGAAUGAAGUGAAAAACUGAAUUUUUUUUUUUUUUUGAUACGGAGUCUCACUCUGUUACCCAGGCUAGAGUGCAGUGGCGCGAUCUCCGCUCACUGCAAGCUCUGCCUCCUGGGCUCACACCAUUCUCCUGCCUCAGCCUCCUCAGUAGCUGGGACUACAAGUGCCUGCCACCACGCCUGGGUUAUUUUUUAUAUUUUUAGUAGAGACGGGGUUUCACUGUGUUAGCCAGGAUGGUCUCGAUCUCCAGGAUGGUCUCGAUCUCCAGGAUGGUCUCGAUCUCCUGACGUCGUGAUCCACCCGCCUCGGCCUCCCAAAAUGCUGGGAUUACAGGUGUGAGCCACUGUGCCCGGCCAAAAGAACAGAAAUUAUUUUAUCCUGAAGUAAGCUGUUUAUAUUUGGGAUUAUACUGAACCUAUUUGUCCAAUAACCUGAGUUUUCAAAUAAUUUUAGUUCUAUAAGUACUAUAAUUAUAUAAAUAUUAAUGAAUUCAGAUUAGCUGAAAGGAAAAAAAGUAGAAGCCUGACUACUUGGUGCUAACUACUAAAGAUUUUGGCAGAAUCAAUGUUGGAUUUGGCUUUCCUGUCCCUUCCCCAUGCCAGCCCCCCAGAGUGUUCUGCCUUGUGCUGCCUCCCUUCACCUGGAGUGCCACACCCCUCUCUCUGCCAGUUCAGCUCUUCAUUCUUCAAGGCCUGACCUUGUCUGACCCUUGUGCCUCUAAACCCGUGGCCCCACCUCUCUUGGUUCCUAUGUCAGGUGAUGUUUGUGUUUUUGGUUAUGCCCAUCUCCAUAGCCAGACCAAGCACUCUGGAAGCCAGGGUUGGGUGCUUAUUUAUCUGUUUGCCAUGCAGAAAAUAUCUUGCACAAAAUUACCUCUGUUAAGGAAUCUGAAGCUGAAUUUAGUUUGGCUGAGUCAGGGUUGGGUUUUUUUUAAGGGGCUGUGGGGUGAAAUGUUGACUGGAAGCCACCCACAAACACACACCUGCUGGUUAGGAACCCGGCUGUGGGUGGUUCUGAGCUGUUUGGCUUCAGUUGACAGUUUCUGAUUGCCCUGAGCACCAGGUCUCAUCUUGCAUCUCAUCCUGGCCUGGAGAACAUUCAGUUUCCUUCCAACCCUUCCCACCUUUCCCCCACUCCCUUGGAGGAACUGAAGUUGGGGUUGAGGAGAGCCAGAUGGCUGGAGUGGGUAUUUGAAGGUCUUUCUGUCACCUGUUCAGUGUGGUCUGCCCCACCCCUGCUGACCAAGACUGACUGAAAUGUAAAAUAAUACAGACCAUCUCACACUCAGAAAGCUGGCACAUUUUUGAAAGCCCAAGUGUGGGUAAGUGCGUGGAACAACGAUAAUUCACACUGCUUUAUGAGUAGAAAUUGUGAGAAAUAUUGUGCCAGGCAAUUUGCAAAAUCUUGGAAGGUUGUGUGCACUUAACCACCCAGCAACUACUCCUGGAUGCAUCCUAGAGAAGUGCCAUGUGAACAGAGAAUGAUUUUAAGACUUCACUGAAGUAUUGUUUAGGUAGCAAGAUUGGGAAAAGCCUGCAUUUCAUCAGCAGAAGAAUGGAUAAAUAAAUGGGUUGUUUUUGGUCCUUGGAAAGUGAAUAUGAAAGAGUUACGUCUCAACACAGAUAGAUGAAAAAUUAUGCUGAGAAAGUUGGUGAAGCUACAUACAAGGUACCCUUAGUGUAAAGUUAAGCAUACUGUGUACCUGUGGGCACGUUACUUCAACUUGUUUUUCACUUUUUCUGUAAAAUGGGAUAGUAGUGGCAAUCUCACAGGGUGAUUGUGGGUGGGGGGGUGGUCAAUGAAGUAAUGCAUGUAAAAUGCUUAGAAUAGUGUCUAGCAUGUAAGCCUUGUGGACAUAUAGAAAGUGUUAUUGUUUUGCACAGUAAUCUAUUUUCUGUGGAUUCAAAUAAUAUGAAAUGAGUAUAAAAUCAUGUAUUGGAACGAUGUGUGCAAGUCACCAUUCUGCCUUCCUAAGGCAGGAGACCUGAUGGAUUUGGGGAGGGUACAUGGGGCCUUCAGUUGUGUUUUCUUUGUUUUUUUCUAAAAAUUGAUGCAGAGGCAUCACAAUGUUAAGAUUUUUACAGGGUAGUGUGGUGGGUACUUUUUAACUGUUUGCUUAAAGUGUUUCAAAGUAAAAAUAUUUCUUAAGCAUA